GGGAGGCUGCGUCCGCGCGCCGGCGGGGCGGGGCGGCCGGGCCCUGCGCGUCAGGCCUGAGACCUGGGAGGAAGCUGGAGAAAAGAUGCCCUCUGAAUCUUUGUGUUUGGCUGCCCAGGCUCGCCUCGACUCCAAAUGGUUGAAAACAGAUAUACAGCUUGCAUUCACAAGAGAUGGGCUCUGUGGUCUGUGGAAUGAAAUGGUUAAAGAUGGAGAAAUUGUAUACACUGGAACAGAAUCAACCCAGAACGGAUAGCUCCCUCCUGGAAAAGCUUUUGUCUGGUCCUCUGAGCCCCAGUGAGAGUUUCCUGAGGUACCUCACCCUUCCACAAGACAACAGGCUUGCCAUUGAUCUGCAACAAACGGCGGUUGUUGUCAUGGCCCAUUUAGACCGUCUGGCUACACCCUGUAGAUGCCUCCUCUGUGUAGCUCUCCGACGUCUCAUAAGAGUCAUUUUUUACAGGUCAGAACUGUAGAAAUAAUGAGAAAGUGACACUUGUACGCAUAGCUGAUUUGGAGAACCAUAAUAACGAUGGAGGCUUCUGGACUGUGAUUGACGGGAAAGUGUAUGAUAUAAAGGACUUCCAGACACAGUCGUUAACAGAAAAUAGUAUUCUUGCUCAGUUUGCAGGGGAAGACCCAGUGGUAGCUUUGGAAGCUGCUUUGCAGUUUGAAGACACCCGGGAAUCCAUGCACGCAUUUUGUGUUGGCCAGUAUUUGGAGCCUGACCAAGAAGGCGUCACCAUACCAGAUCUGGGGAGUCUCUCCUCACCUCUGAUAGACACAGAGAGGAAUCUGGGCCUGCUUCUCGGAUUACACGCUUCCUAUUUAGCAAUGAGCACACCGCUGUCUCCUGUCGAGAUUGAAUGUGCCAAAUGGCUUCAGUCAUCCAUCUUCUCUGGAGGCCUGCAGACCAGCCAGAUCCACUACAGCUACAACGAGGAGAAAGACGAGGACCACUGCAGCUCCCCAGGGGGCACACCUGCCAGCAAAUCUCGACUCUGCUCCCACAGACGGGCCCUGGGGGACCAUUCCCAGGCAUUUCUGCAAGCCAUUGCAGACAACAACAUUCAGGAUCACAACGUGAAGGACUUUUUGUGUCAAAUAGAAAGGUACUGUAGGCAGUGCCAUUUGACCACACCGAUCAUGUUUCCCCCCGAGCAUCCCGUGGAAGAGGUCGGUCGCUUGCUGUUAUGUUGCCUCUUAAAACAUGAAGAUUUAGGUCAUGUGGCAUUAUCUUUAGUUCAUGCAGGUGCACUUGGUAUUGAGCAAGUAAAGCACAGAACGUUGCCUAAGUCAGUGGUGGAUGUUUGUAGAGUUGUCUACCAAGCAAAAUGUUCGCUCAUUAAGACUCAUCAAGAACAGGGCCGUUCUUACAAGGAGGUCUGCGCUCCUGUCAUCGAACGUUUGAGAUUCCUCUUUAAUGAAUUGAGACCUGCUGUUUGUAAUGACCUCUCUAUAAUGUCUAAGUUUAAAUUGUUAAGUUCUUUGCCCCAUUGGAGGAGGAUAGCUCAGAAGAUAAUUCGAGAACCAAGGAAAAAGAGAGUUCCUAAGAAGCCAGAAUCUACGGAUGAUGAAGAAAAAAUUGGAAACGAAGAGAGUGAUUUAGAAGAAGCUUGCAUUUUGCCUCAUAGUCCAAUAAAUGUGGACAAGAGACCCAUUGCAAUUAAAUCACCCAAGGACAAAUGGCAGCCGCUGUUGAGUACUGUUACAGGUGUUCACAAAUACAAGUGGUUGAAGCAGAAUGUGCAGGGUCUUUAUCCGCAGUCUCCACUCCUCAGUACAAUUGCUGAAUUUGCCCUUAAAGAAGAGCCAGUGGAUGUGGAAAAGAGAAAGUGCCUACUAAAACAGUUGGAGAGAGCAGAGGUUCGCCUGGAAGGGAUAGAUACAAUUUUAAAAUUGUAUCUGGUGAGCAAGAAUUUCUUACUUCCAUCUGUGCCGUAUGCGAUGUUUUGUGGAUGGCAAAGACUUAUUCCUGAGGGAAUCGAUAUAGGGGAACCUCUUACUGAUUGUUUAAAGGAUGUUGAUUUGAUCCCGCCUUUUAAUCGGAUGCUGCUGGAAGUCACCUUUGGCAAGCUGUACGCUUGGGCUGUUCAGAACAUUCGAAAUGUUUUGGUGGAUGCCAGUGCCAAAUUUAAAGAGCUUGGUAUCCAGCCGGUUCCCCUGCAAACCAUCACCAAUGAGAACCCAUCGGGACCGAGCUUGGGGACCAUCCCGCAAGCCCACUUCCUCCUGGUGAUGCUCAGCAUGCUCACCCUGCAGCACAGCGCAAACAACCUUGACCUCCUGCUCAAUUCCGGCACGCUGGCCCUCGCUCAGACGGCACUGCGCCUGAUUGGCCCCAGUUGUGACAGCGUUGAGGAAGAUAUGAAUGCUUCUGCUCAAGGUGCUUCUGCCACAGUUUUGGAAGAAACAAGGAAGGAAACGGCUCCUGUGCAGCUCCCUGUUUCAGGGCCAGAACUGGCUGCCAUGAUGAAGAUUGGAACAAGGGUCAUGAGAGGUGUGGACUGGAAAUGGGGCGAUCAGGAUAGGCCUCCUCCAGGCCUAGGCCGAGUGAUUGGUGAGCUGGGAGAGGACGGGUGGAUAAGAGUCCAGUGGGACACAGGCAGCACCAACUCCUACAGGAUGGGGAAAGAAGGAAAUUACGACCUCAAGCUGGCAGAGCUGCCAGCCCCUGCACAGCCCUCAGCAGAGGAUUCGGACACAGAGGACGACUCUGAAGCCGAACAAACUGAAAGGAACAUUCACCCCACUGCAAUGAUGUUUACCAGCACUAUUAACUUACUGCAGACUCUUUGUCUGUCUGCUGGAGUUCAUGCUGAGAUCAUGCAGAGUGAAGCCACCAAGACUUUAUGCGGACUGCUGCAAAUGCUGGUGUACAGGGAGCAACACCGGAGCUGGUGCACGCUGGGGUUUGUGCAGAGCAUCGCUCUCACGCUGCAGGUGUGCGGCACCCUCAGCUCCCUGCAGUGGAUCACGCUGCUCAUGAAGGUCGUGGAAGGGCACGCACCCUUCACUGCCACCUCGCUGCAGAGGCAGAUCUUAGCUGUGCAUUUGUUGCAAGCAGUCCUUCCGUCAUGGGACAAGACCGAAAGGGCGAGGGACAUGAAAUGCCUCAUGGAGAAGCUGUUUGACUUCUUGGGGAGCUUGCUCACUAUGUGCUCCUCUGACGUGCCGUUACUCAGAGAGUCCACGCUGAGGCGGCGCAGGGUGUGCCCGCAGGCCUCGCUGACUGCCACCCACAGCAGCACACUGGCGGAGGAGGUGGUGGCACUGCUGCACACGCUGCACUCCCUGACUCAGUGGAAUGGGCUCAUCAACAAGUACAUCAACUCCCAGCUCCGCUCCAUCACCCACAGCUUUGCGGGAAGGCCUUCCAAAGGGGCCCAGUUAGAGGACUACUUCCCUGAUUCCGAGAACCCUGAAGUGGGGGGCCUCAUGGCGGUCCUGGCUGUGGUUGGAGGCAUCGAUGGUCGCCUGUGCCUGGGCGGCCAAGUUGUGCACGAUGACUUUGGAGAAGUCACCAUGACUCGCAUCACCCUGAAGGGCAAAAUCACCGUGCAGUUCUCUGACAUGCGGACGUGUCACGUUUGCCCAUUGAAUCAGCUGAAACCACUCCCUGCCGUGGCCUUUAAUGUGAACAACCUGCCCUUCACAGAGCCCAUGCUGUCUGUCUGGGCUCAGUUGGUGAACCUCGCUGGAAGCAAGUUAGAAAAGCACAAAAUAAAGAAAUCGACUAAACAGGCCUUUGCAGGACAAGUGGACCUGGACCUGCUGCGGUGCCAGCAGUUGAAGCUAUACAUCCUGAAAGCAGGUCGGGCGCUGUUCUCCCACCAGGAUAAACUGCGGCAGAUCCUGUCUCAGCCAGCUGUUCAGGAGACUGGAACUGUUCACACAGAUGAUGGAGCAGUGGUAUCACCUGACCUUGGGGACAUGUCUCCUGAAGGGCCGCAGCCCCCCAUGAUCCUCUUGCAGCAGCUGCUGGCCUCGGCCACCCAGCCGUCUCCUGUGAAGGCCAUAUUUGAUAAACAGGAACUUGAGGAAAGAAUGUCCAGAUGUUGUUUUUGGAGAAGAAGAACUACAAAGUUAGAGCAAAUACUCUUAUUUAUAAGAAGAAUGAACUCAGUGUGUGAGAAGGAGAAUACAAAUGCAACAGCCUCAAAUUAGCAGUGGAUGCCUACUGGGCUUCUGCAACCGCUUUCCACGGGUGAGCAAACUCUCAAAGCUUGAGCUGUUGCUCAGGUUUUCCCUAGGGAAGUGUUGAUGGUGUCCUGGGGACACUGCACUGCAGUCAUGGCCAGCAAGCCUUGUAAAUACAAAGCAUGGUACAGGAUAUGCAUGAUAAAAUCACCUUGCUCAAAUAAAUGCAGCAGGAAAAAUGGA
ensembl:lncRNA HERC2P3 HERC2 pseudogene 3